rnacentral:lncRNA from 1 species
AGAUUUCGAGCUUUUUGUUAAACAAAUCAAAGAGAGUAUUUCAAAAUAAAGCUAAAGCUAAAGGUGAGAAAAAACAAGGGAAGAAUGGGGCCUGCAGAUUUAAAAGGCAAUAAUGGACUGUAAGGGCGUGGUUCGUACGCAUCAUAGAGACUUAUCUAGCCCUAGAUACACGACUGACUACUACUCAAGUGCAACGUAUAUUUCUAUACAUACACCUGAACUAUGCAUUGCAUAGUAUAUAUUUAUGCUGUGCGUAACUAAAUACGUAAUGGCUAUGUGGUCCUCUCAGUGACCAAAGGUAGACCCGAAGAGGGACCUCCUCCCAAGUAAAACGAUCAUCACACGGU